GACGAACGCUGGCGGCGUGCUUAACACAUGCAAGUCGAACGGAAAGGCCCUGCUUUUGUUGUUUGCUCGAUUGGCGAACGGGUGAGUAACACGUGUGUAACCUGCCCUUUACUUUGGGAUAACUUCAGGAAACUUGGGCUCAUACCCGAUAUGAGCUCCUGCUUCGUGGUGGGGGUUGGUAAGUUUCGGCGGUUGGGGUUGGACUCGCGGCUUAUCAGCUUGUUUGUGGUGUAUUGGCUGACCAAGGCUUUGACGGGUAGCCGGCCUGAGCGGGUGACCGGCGACAAUGGGACUGAGAGACGGACCAGAAGCGUAUGGGAGGCAGUAGAGGGGAAUAUUGCAGAAUGAGGGGGAGCGAGAUGCAGAAGCGCCGGGGGCGGGAAGACGGGCUGCGGGGUGAAAACCGCUAUCGCAGGAAAUGAAGCGAGAGUGACGGUAAUGGGUAAAGAAGCACCGGCUAACUACGUG
rnacentral:rRNA from 1 species